GGUCCGAGUUCUGAGCUGAGCAGCGAAGGCCGGCCCUCCGCCUGGACGAGGCUCCCCGAGGUGCUACGACUAGGAACCCGUCACUGCUCCCCGAGGAGCGCCAAGAGCACCAGCCAGCGAAGGACCACCCGCACUCCCGGGCUCCGUCGGGGGCCACACGCCCCUUUGCGUCCCCUUGGUGGCCCCGGCGGGCGCCAGCCCCUUCGACCCGCGUCACCGCGCCCUAGCCUCCCGCGCCACGGCCCCCUCCCGCCCACGGCACGUGACUCGACACGCGCCAGCUGCACGCGGGCUCCAUCAAAACAAAAACAGAGGAGGCCGCCGGGCGGCGGCGGGCGCGCGCGGGGGAGGCGGAGAGCGGGCGCGCCCCCGCUGCCCCGCGCCGCGACCGCGCCUCCGCCGCCCCGGGCGCCGCCGGCGGCGCGCCCCGGCAGGCCGGGGGCGGGAGGGCAGAGGGCGCCACCCUGUUUACCGCCCCGGCCCCGCCCCGCCCGCGCCCGCUCCCGGAAGCGGUCUCCCGGGAGAGGGCCGGCGAGUGCGCACCCACUCGCGGCGGGGAAUGCCAGCCCUGUGUGGGAGGCGCCCGGCUCCGGCGGCCCACCGCCCCUGGCUGCUGCGUGUCACCCCCGUCACGACUCUGCUACGCACUUCGCCCCCGGCUUUCAGCUCCGGCGCUUCCGCAGACCCCUCACGUGGCCGCCGCCUCCCUGCCACGGCGCUCCCCGGCGACCCGGGCUGCUGCCCCCGGCGCUGGAGGGAUCCCAAGCCUGUGCCCACCCCACCUCGGACGUCACCCUCCUCGGACCACCCAACCCACACCUUCCGCCUGGGGCGGGGCGGGGGAAGGACGGCUACGAGCUGUCAGGAGCCUCCAGCUUUCCCGUGACCAAGCUCACCCUCGCCCCGAUCGUCGGCCACUCACCCAGCAGCCCGGCUGCAAGCUGGAGCACACGUUUACACCGAGGGCGGACUGGGGGAAACGUCUUGAUUUUUCUCCCUAAUUUGCCACACACACAGGAAAAAAAAAAAAAAACAGCAGAGGCAGCUCUACCCCUGCGCUGGCAUUAA
rnacentral:lncRNA from 1 species